UACGUAGGGGGCUAGCGUUGUCCGGAAUCAUUGGGCGUAAAGCGCGUGUAGGCGGCCCGAUAAGUCCGCUGUGAAAGUCCAGGGCUCAACCCUGGGAUGCCGGUGGAUACUGUCGGGCUCGAGUCCGGAAGAGGCGAGUGGAAUUCCUGGUGUAGCGGUGAAAUGCGCAGAUAUCAGGAGGAACACCGGUGGCGAAGGCGGGUCUCUGGGCCGAUACUGACGCUGAGGAGCGAAAGCAUGGGUAGCGAACAGG
rnacentral:rRNA from 1 species